GAAUAUUGGACAAUGGGCGAAAGCCUGAUCCAGCAAUGCCGCGUGUGUGAAGAAGGCCUUCGGGUUGUAAAGCACUUUAGGCUGGAAAGAAAAAAUUCAAGCUAACAUCUUGAGUCUUGACGGUACCAGCAGAAUAAGCACCGGCUAACUCUGUGCCAGCAGCCGCGGUAAUACAGAGGGUGCAAGCGUUAAUCGGAUUUACUGGGUGUAAAGCGUGUGUAGGUGGCUGCUCAAGUCGGUUGUGAAAUCCCCGGGCUCAACCUGGGAAUUGCUUCCGAGACUGAGCGACUAGAGUACGGUAGAGGGCGGUGGAAUUUCCGGUGUAGCGGUGAAAUGCGUAGAUAUCAGAAGGAACACCAAUGGCGAAGGCAGCCGCCUGGGCCUGUACUGACACUGAGACACGAAAGCGUGGGGAUCAAACAGG
rnacentral:rRNA from 1 species